AACUGCAGUCGACGGGGCCUUCGGGUCCAGUGGCGAACGGCGGAGUAAUACGUGAGCAACGUGCCCUAAAGACCGGGAUAGUCAGUGGAAACGCUGGGUAAUACCGGAUGUGGAAGCUCUUUGGCAUCAGAGAGCUUUUAAAUGGUUUUUCGCUUUAGGAGCGGCUCACGGCCUAUCAGGUAGUUGGUGGGGUGAAGGCCUACCAAGCCGACGACGGGUAGCGGGUCUGAGAGGAUGACCCGCUCGAGUGGGACUGAGACACGGCCCACACACCUACGGGUGGCAGCAGUUGGGAAUCUUGCACAAUGGGGGAAACCCUGAUGCAGCGACGCCGCGUGGAGGAUGACGGGUCUAGGCCUGUAAACUCCUUUUACCAGGAAAGACUUAGGACGGUACCUGGUGAAUAAGCACCGGCUAACUACGUGCCAGCAGCCGCGGUAAGACGUAGGGUGCAAGCGUUGUCCGGAUUUACUGGGCGUAAAGGGCGCGUAGGCGGCUCGUUAAGUGUGAAGUGAAAUCCCUAGGGCUCAACCCAGGAACUGCUUUACAUACUGGCGGGCUUGAGGAUCGAAGAGGCUUGUGGAAUUCCUGGUGUAGCGGUGAAAUGCGUUGAUAUCAGGAGGAACACCCAUGGCGAAGGCAGCAAGCUGGUCGAUUCCUGACGCUGAGGCGCGAAAGCGUGGGUAGCAAACAGGAUUAGAUACCCUGGUAGUCCACGCCCUAAACGAUGGAUGCUAGGCGUGAGGGGUAUCGACCCCCCUCGUGCCGCAGCUAACGCACUAACAUCCCGCCUGGGGACUACGGCCGCAAGGUUGAAACUCAAUGAAUUGACGGGGACCCGCACAAGUGG
rnacentral:rRNA from 1 species